CCCUUAGAUGUCCUGGGCUGCACGCGCGCUACACUGGAAGUUACGGAUUGAGAUACUACCUUGUCCGAAAUGGUCCGGGUAAUCACCUAAAAGCUUGUCAUAAUUGGAAUGGAUUAUUGUAACUAGUAAUCCUGAACGAGGAAUUCCUAGUAAGUCCCAGUCAACAGCUGGUACUGAUUACGUCCCUGCCCUUUGUACACACCGCCCGUCGCUACUACUGAUUGGACGUUUAAGCAAGAUUUUUAAACACUGACAGUGUGUAGUUCACGCUAUACUACAGUGAGAAGAAGAAGAUCGAGCCUACUUGUCUAGAGGAAGUAAAAGUCGUAACA
rnacentral:rRNA from 1 species